rnacentral:rRNA from 1 species
GUGCCAGCCGCCGCGGUAACACCGGCAGCCCAAGUGAUGGCCGAUAUUAUUGGGCCUAAAGCGUCCGUAGCUGGCCGCACAAGUCCGUCGGGAAAUCCACUCGCUUAACGAGUGGGCGUCCGGCGGAAACUGUGCGGCUUGGGACCGGAAGAUCCAAGGGGUACGUCCGGGGUAGGAGUGAAAUCCCGUAAUCCUGGACGGACCACCGAUGGCGAAAGCACUUCGAGAAAACGGAUCCGACAGUGAGGGACGAAAGCCAGGGUCUCCAACCGGAUUAGAAACCCCAGUAGUCC